AACACUGUUCUGUCUCUCUGCCUGUACAGAGUGUCGGAGCUAGGCGUGUGCUUGAACUGCGGUGUUCUGUAGAAAUGACUCAGCAUUAAAGCUUCCACUGACAUGUGUUAUUCCUGAACUCAGACUGGCCUCCUGCUGUCCGGGGAAGUCCACUUUUAACCCGGGAAUGAAUGUUAAAACUUGAGACAGCGCUCCGUCCCGAGGUGAACGCCGUGCGGACCGGUUCAGGUUCGGGAACACUUUGAGUUCUGUCGAACUUAUUUUUGUUUAAACCCUAAACACGAUUCAACCACUUCCGUUACUGUACCGAGCCUGUGUUGGGAAACACAACAAAGGGCUGAGGAAAAACACAGUGACCGAGGAAAGGCAGCGAGGAGCGAACACGGGCUGCACGUACCUCCUCCAUGUCCUGGACCAUCUUGGCUUCCAGCCGAGUUUUUCAGACGGGUUGAGGACCUCCGCUUCUGUCCCGAUGCCUAGGACCUGCCUCUGCACCAGCUUGCAGUACAGUCCCCCGCUGGCCAUCAGCUGACUAGCGCUGGUCGCCUCAUCCAGGAUAAGAACGCGAGGGUUACGGAUGAGAGCUCUUGCAAUGGCCACUCUUUGUUUCUGCCCCCCUGACAGCUGGGUGCCUUUCUCUCCAACACCUG